rnacentral:rRNA from 1 species
AUACGUAGGUGACAAGCGUUAUCCGGAUUUACUGGGCGUAAAGGGCGUGUAGGCGGUCUUGCAAGUCAGAAGUGAAAUUCCUGAGCUCAACUCGGGCGCUGCUUCUGAAACUGCAGGACUUGAGUGCUGGAGGGGAUAGCGGAAUUCCUAGUGGAGCGGUAAAAUGCGCAGAUAUUAGGAAGAACACCGGUGGCGAAGGCGGCUAUCUGGACAGUAACUGACGCUGAGGCGCGAAAGCGUGGGGAGCGAACAGGAUUAGAUACCCUGGUAGUCCACGCUGUAAACGAUGAAUGCUAGGUGUAGGGGGUAUCGACCCCUCCUGUGCCGGAGUAAACGCAAUAAGCAUUCCGCCUGGGGAGUACGGCCGCAAGGUUGAAACUCAAAUGAAUUGACGGGG